AAGGGUUUAGCUCAGUGGUAGAGUGCCUGCUUACCGUGCAUGAGGUCCUGGGUUCAAUCCCCAGUACCUCCA
rnacentral:tRNA from 1 species